GCCAGGGAUAAUUAUCCCGAAGCAAUUAUGUAAUCCUCCAUCAGUUUUUCUUGGAAACCCUUCAUCUCCCUUUACCUCCGUUGACAUAAAUGGUGCCCCAGAGUGGAAUGUGAAGGAAAAUCACCUUCAGGAUGAAUCAGUGAUUGCUGGAACCGGUGUGCAGAACUCACUUGAGCCAUUUAAGGAUUCCACUUCCACAGCUCAUCUUCUUCUUCCCUGGCUAUGAAAAUGGUUAACAGGAAACUCACUUGAAUGAUGACCAG